UACGUAGGGUGCGAGCGUUGUCCGGAAUUAUUGGGCGUAAAGAGCUCGUAGGCGGUUUGUCGCGUCUGCUGUGAAAACUCGGGGCUUAACUCCGGGCCUGCAGUGGGUACGGGCAGACUAGAGUGCGGUAGGGGAGACUGGAAUUCCUGGUGUAGCGGUGAAAUGCGCAGAUAUCGGAAAGAACACCAACGGCGAAAGCACUCUGCUGGGCCGACACUGACACUGAGAGACGAAAGCUAGGGGAGCGAAUGGG
rnacentral:rRNA from 1 species